rnacentral:rRNA from 1 species
UACGAAGGGGGCUAGCGUUGUUCGGAAUUACUGGGCGUAAAGCGUUUGUAGGCGGUUAUUUAAGCCAGUGGUGAAAGCCCGGGGCUCAACCCCGGGUCGGCCGUGCGAACUGUCGAGCUGGAGCACUGUAGAGGCAGGUGGAAUUCCGGGUGUAGCGGUGGAAUGCGUAGAGAUCCGGAAGAACACCGGUGGCGAAGGCGGCCUGCUGGGCAGUGGCUGACGCUGAGGCGCGACAGCGUGGGGAGCAAACAGG